rnacentral:rRNA from 1 species
CGACCGGCGCACGGGUGCGUAACGCGUAUGCAACCUACCUUUAACAGGGGGAUAACACUGAGAAAUUGGUACUAAUACCCCAUAAUAUCAUAGAAGGCAUCUUUUAUGGUUGAAAAUUCCGAUGGUUAGAGAUGGGCAUGCGUUGUAUUAGCUAGUUGGUGGGGUAACGGCUCACCAAGGCGACGAUACAUAGGGGGACUGAGAGGUUAACCCCCCACACUGGUACUGAGACACGGCCCAG